GACGGACGCUGGCGGCGUGCCUAAUACAUGCAAGUAGAACGCUGAAGGAGGAGCUUGCUCUUCUGGAUGAGUUGCGAACGGGUGAGUAACGCGUAGGUAACCUGCCUGGUAGCGGGGGAUAACUAUUGGAAACGAUAGCUAAUACCGCAUAAGAGUAGAUGUUGCAUGACAUUUGCUUAAAAGGUGCAAUUGCAUCACUACCAGAUGGACCUGCGUUGUAUUAGCUAGUUGGUGGGGUAACGGCUCACCAAGGCGACGAUACAUAGCCGACCUGAGAGGGUGAUCGGCCACACUGGGACUGAGACACGGCCCAGACUCCUACGGGAGGCAGCAGUAGGGAAUCUUCGGCAAUGGACGGAAGUCUGACCGAGCAACGCCGCGUGAGUGAAGAAGGUUUUCGGAUCGUAAAGCUCUGUUGUAAGAGAAGAACGAGUGUGAGAGUGGAAAGUUCACACUGUGACGGUAUCUUACCAGAAAGGGACGGCUAACUACGUG
rnacentral:rRNA from 1 species